CCUACGGGAGGCAGCAGUGAGGAAUAUUGGUCAAUGGGCGGGAGCCUGAACCAGCCAAGUCGCGUGAGGGAAGACGGUCCUAUGGAUUGUAAACCUCUUUAGGCGGGGAGCAAUGCCGGGCACGCGUGCCCGGAGGGAGAGUACCCGCAGAAUAAGCAUCGGCUAACUCCGUGCCAGCAGCCGCGGUAAUACGGAGGAUGCGAGCGUUAUCCGGAGUUAUUGGGUUUAAAGGGUGCGUAGGCGGAUUUUUAAGUCAGCGGUAAAAUGUCCGGGCUCAACCCGGGCCGGCCGUUGAAACUGGGGAUCUUGAGUGGGCGAGAAGUAUGCGGAAUGCGUGGUGUAGCGGUGAAAUGCAUAGAGAUCACGCAGAACUCCGAUUGCGAAGGCAGCAUACCGGCGCCCGACUGACGCUGAGGCACGAAAGCGUGGGGAUCGAACAGGAUUAGAUACCCUUGUAGUC
rnacentral:rRNA from 1 species